rnacentral:lncRNA from 1 species
GUUCUUUAAAUUAUGUGUGUGUGUGUCUGUCUGUCUGUCUAUGUGGUGAUGCACAUGUGUGUUCAGGUACGUGAGGAGGACAAUUGUGUCAAAUCCCCUAGAGUUAGAGGCAGUUGUGAGCUACUCCCUGAUGUGGGUCCUGGGAACCACAUGUGGGUUUUCUCAACAGCACAAGCUCUUAGACAUUGACCAUCUCUCUAGCCUCACAUAUUUGUGUGUGUCUGAGAACUGAACCCAAGGCUUCCCACAUGCUAAGCAACUGCUAAGCCAUGCCCCCAGCCCCUCCCUAGGGGAUUCUAGGCAGGGGCUUUACCACUGAGCCACGCCCCCAGCCCCUCACUGGGGGAUUCUAGGCAGGGGCUUUACCACUGAGCCACGCCCCCAGCCCCUCACUGGGGGAUUCUAGGCAGGGCUCUACCACUGUACUACUAUCCCUAGCCUUUUUGGUUUUGGUUUUGAGGAGGGAGGGUCUUACUAAAUUGCUCAGGCUGGACUUCAGUUCACUCUGUUCCCAGGCAAUCCUGCCUCUCAGCCUCUUGAAUAGUUGAGAUUAUAGACCUGCCCACUAGGCCAGGGUCCUCUCAGAUGUUUUGAAUCAUUCUGUGGUUUAAAACCAUCACUGUAAAUACCAUGUAAAUCCUCACACCAUGGUGUUUAGGGGAUUGUGGGCAGAAGAAGUCUGUGAAUGUUGAGUGCCACACAGAUCUGUGAUUGGUUGAGUGUACAGAUGCAGAGACCCCAGAUUUGCAUUUGAGAACUUUCCCUGUUGCUUGACAUUCUCCUUUGAUUCUCAGAGUAGACCACCUCCCAUUGCUCUGUGUCUUGUAAGUGGUGCAGACCUUCCCUGUGAGGGGAGAGCCUGGGCUGGCUGCACUGCCUGGCCUGGAGCUGGGAGGUGUCAGAGGGCAGCAGGAGUGGGAUUCCUUCUCUACGCCCACCUCCCUUGGACUUCUUGGUUCUCUGUCUAAGGCCCAGUUCCUUUCCUAGGUACCUCAUGGCAGGCCUUGGAUCCAGCAGUGAGGACGAGGGGGACUCUCACAGUGAGAGCGGUGAAGAUGAAGCUCCCAAGCUUCCCCGGAAGGUCUGAUGCCCCUACGGUGCCAGGAGGGAGUGCUGGGUGCCAACCAGGCUCUGCUGAGCUACCUCAGCCUCUCCCUUCUGCCCCCUGCUGGCUGACCACAGCCUCACACUGCCCUGACCUCACCCAGCCCUCCUUCCUCAGAGGCCCCAGCCCAAAGCCAAGACCCAGGCAGCAGGACCCAGCUCACCCCCGAGGCCACCAACCCCAGAAGAGACCAAAGCACCAUCACCAGGACCCCAGGACAAUAGUGACACUGAUGGGGAACAGUCAGAAGGACGGGACAAUGGGGCGGAAGAUUCUGGGGACACCGAAGAUGAACUGAGGAGCAGAGGGAGCAAAGGCAGCCCCCAGCCCCAGAGGAGAAUGGCGAGGACCCGUAUGCAGGCUCCACAGAU